CAGUCGCCGCGGUAAAACGUAGGUCCCGAGCGUUGUCCGGAUUUAUUGGGCGUAAAGCGAGCGCAGGCGGUUAGAUAAGUCUGAAGUUAAAGGCUGUGGCUUAACCAUAGUACGCUUUGGAAACUGUUUAACUUGAGUGCAAGAGGGGAGAGUGGAAUUCCAUGUGUAGCGGUGAAAUGCGUAGAUAUAUGGAGGAACACCGGUGGCGAAAGCGGCUCUCUGGCUUGUAACUGACACUGAGGCUCGAAAGCGUGGGGAGCAAACAGGAUUAGAUACCCCCGUAGUCCCUGUCUCUUAUACC
rnacentral:rRNA from 1 species